rnacentral:rRNA from 1 species
AGUGAACGCUGGCGGUAUGCCUAACACAUGCAAGUCGAGCGGCAGCACAGUAAGAGCUUGCUCUUACGGUUGGCGAGUGGCGGACGGGUGAGGAAUACAUCGGAAUCUACUUUUUCGGGGGGGAUAACGUAGGGAAACUUACGCUAAUACCGCAUACGACCUACGGGUGAAAGCAGUGGAGCUUCGGACCUUGCGCGAUUGAUUGAGCCGAUGUCGGAUUAGCUAGUUGGCGGGGUAAAGGCCCACCAAGGCGACGAUCCGUAGCUGGUCUGAGAGGAUGAUCAGCCACACUGGAACUGAGACACGGUCCAGACUCCUACGGGAGGCAGCAGUGGGGAAUAUUGGACAAUGGGCGAAAGCCUGAUCCAGCCAUACCGCGUGAGUGAAGAAGGCCUUCGGGUUGUAAAGCCCUUUUGUUGGGAAAGAAAAGCAGCAGGUUAAUACCCCGCUGUUCUGACGGUACCCAAAGAAUAAGCACCGGCUAACUUCGUG